CCCCGCUUUGUCUGGUUUCCUCUAGAAAAAGGAAACAAUUCGUUUGGGAGCCGGAGAUUUGCAACAAAAAAAGGAGCUGGAGAGGAUAAGGUGAAAUCGGCGGCACCGCCGCCGCCGCUACGGGGCACGAGCAUGGAGGCGGCUGGGAUAGUGUGGUGCCGCCGCCGCUACGGGGCACGAGCACGGAGGCGGCUGGGAACAGGGGGGAGACGAUGGCGGCCUGAGCGGGCGGCGUUGGGCGCCAUGGGGUUCAACAUCUCGCUGGCCUUGACUCACGCACGUCCCGUUCCGCUCAGGGCACAUCCUGCCUCAGCAGCCACACCUCUCCCUCCAAGCACAGAGCAUGCUGCCCCCACCCCCGUACAAUGAACGAGCAUGCCAAGGAGAGGAACUCCAUGCGUAUGGGAGGCCAGCCGCUCCCCAAUCUUCAGAUCUGACCAACGUGGGAGGAAUUGUUGGAGCACAACCAAAUCCAAACGCCUCACCGAAGUUUGCAAUGGAUCAACCUUGAAGACACUCGGAACAUUUACUUCGAGUGAAGACUCUAGCGGCGCUAUUGCCACUGCCCCGACCUCGCCGAUUGUUGACCUCGCUGGCUUGACAGCGUCCUUUUUGAUUCUGAACAUAGGUGCUACUCUCCUGGACACCGCCGACUCAGGUCCUACUCUCCUGGACGCCGCCGACUCAGGUUAUAUCUACAUGUAGCGUUAGAGAAUACUACGUGGAUAACGGUGGCACUAAGGCCUGCAGUAGCGAGUGGAGAGCGCCCAGGCCGAGCUCCCCAACGUUCAUGUCGUACAGGAGCUAAUCCAUGUUGAGUGGGCCAUAUCGGUCUUUGUCUGCACGCAUUAUUAUAUCCUCUUCUUAUCUCCCCCGCUUGUGCCACCGGAGAAUAUCAAGGAUGUGGCGUCGGCACUGAGCCGCCACUGGUAGGCAAGGGCAUGUGGCCUGGUCAUGAACGAUGAGAUUGGGGUCGGCACACACCAAAGUGACACACAGAGGCAGAGUUCUAUAAAAAAAAUAAGGAAUCCAUCUAAUUCUACUUGACAACCUUCCAACACGAGGUAACAUCAUUUGUGGCAUGGGUAUAUCUUAUAUCUACUAAAUAUCACUUCUAGAUAUUGGCGUUACGUACCAAGUGUAUACAUCUAUAUUGCCAAUGCUUCUGCGCUUUUGAUAAUUAGUCAAUAUUUUCAUGUAUUUGUUACAACAGUAUGGUGUUAUCAAGCGUAUUGUCUUGUGAAAAAUUGAUGAUUGCAUCUGCACUUCGUAUCUAAUUGUGUUAUUUCAGAGCUAAUAUUUUUACUAAUUAUUCUAUUCUUUCCACUUCUUGUAUAAACAGACCAGGACCAGUAUUCUGAACCUCAUACCAUUAAGGUAGUCAGCUAAUUUUUUUUAUAGAUGCACUAACUGAUUGCUAAUUUCAGCUUUGUUCUUCAUUACUGCAGGGCAUAUCUGUAUUCUAAGGAAAAUUAGUACACCUGGUAAUUGUUUCUUGACAUGGCUAUUCCAUCGAGGUUUAAUUCUAUGAUACACAACUAAUAGUUUGUUGUUGCAGGUUAUUCCUUUGAAUGAUCUAAGAAAUAUAUUUGGAUUAGGGAAGCGUGAAGCACAAGCAAUCACCUCAGAUAUCGAAUCUCGAGCAUACAGAAAUAAGCUUAUAAAAUCCUUUAGUACUGAUUUGGUUGUUGCUCCUAACAAAGCAUCAUUCCUCCAAAAUCUCUGUCAAGAGUUAUAGUUUGAUCCUGAACUUGCUAGCAAGAUGCAUAAAGAUACCAAGCUGACACUUGUUUUUUGUAUUGCAUCAUUAAUUUUACAGCAUAGUUCUAUGUUAGCUCAAAAUUUGAUCUUGCUCCUGCUAGCAAGAUGUGUACCAUAUUAGCUACAGUUUGAAGGAUAUAAUCCUUUUGUUUCAAGACUGAUGGUUAAACAUUCCUCCAGUGUGAAAGUUAUUAUUUUCUGUUCAAAUUUCUUCGUUACAUUCCUUGGGUGUGAAAGUUAUUAGUUUCAGUUUGAAGGAUAUAAUUUUAACUAUAUGCAUUUGGCUAUCAACCAGCUUUUCUGCUAUCCGACUUUGAAUUUGCAAAAGUUGCUUCUGUUCUAUAUAGGUGUACAUUUUUCAUGCUAACUGGAAAGUACCAAAGUUGUCUAUCCUAGCUGCACCAAACUACAUUUUUCUUGUUUUAUUAAUAUGAGAUAUAUAAGAAAGUGCAGUGGGAAUGGCUUGUACUCAUGCUUGAGGAUAUUUGGCUUAGGCUCCUGGACUGCCUCAUGGCCACAGUGCAGAUAGGAAACUUGUGGUUAUCUUCAUGUCUCAUUGGUGGUCAGAGAAACAAAACAAAGCUGGAGUGGAAGGUUGAAACAAAACAAAGGGUCUAGGACUAGGAGUUUCAAUACAUUGUUAAAAAUUGUGCCAAACAUUAAGGUUGAUUUCAGUUCCUUUGCAUAUGUGUUCAUCCUUCUAGCAUAAGAAAAAUAUGGUGCUUUGCUUGAAAAUUUUGUGGCUUAGUUCUGGAAAGCAUUAAGUUUCCAUACAUACUGGUACUGAUCAAUCCAUCCCUCUGAAAACAUGACACCCUAUUUCACAUGCUUCCUAUAAGCUAUGCACACGCCAUCUCACCAAGCAUUGAUAACAUGUUUCAUUUAAGAGAUCAUUUGAGAUUUGCAUAAUUGUUUUGAGAAUGGGCAGGGUAGCAUCAACACCGGCCUCGAUCAGUGUCGGGGCAAUGGUGAACCGACAAAGAAGGCAGCUCGGGUAGGGUGGCGCAGCACAUCGACACCGGCCACGACCAACAUCAGAGGAUGGGUCAUUGGGACGGAAGGAGGAAGACAAAGAGGAUGAAGAAGACGGCGAUCACAAAUUUUUUAUCAUCGAUAAAAAACAGGUGACCGAUGCAUAGUUGCUCUCAUACUAUCCGCUAAAGAAAUUGAUAAGAGGCGAUAUAGAUUCGAAGGACUUCACACAUGUCACUUAGUCAUCAGUUUGAUUUAUUCAUGUAUUUUUCCCGUAGCAACGCACGGGCAUUGUACUAGUUUUACUAAGUUGAAU